ACACACACACACACUUCUGUUCUUAUAACGCAAGAAAACAAGAGCGGAUGCAGAAGCAAGGCGAGAAUACAGCGGGUCAGAUCAAACACUCACCGAUCUGAUGCUUCGAGCGAAUGUAGCGCACGCGGAAUGAAAGACGCCGCUCCGGUGAAGCAGUGAUGAACAAGCGCGUGACGUUCAACGCAAACAGCUGCCGGUGAUGCGCCGCUCCGUCGCGAGUUGCAGAAACACUGCGCGGUGAUUGGUCCGAGAGUUUGAUGCCACCUUAAAGCGAGCGCUCCGAUUGGCUGAGGCUCAUCUGAUGUUCUCGGUAUUUCACACCAGCACUCCCGGACCCAGCACAACCAAACCUCCCCGGGGCCGGUGCUUUUAUACGGUACACCCGCUCAGCCCACCGGCGAGGAGUCCCCCUCGCCGCAGCCAAUCACCGCGAGCCCCUGCUGGAACUCUAUUACACAACUGCACGCGCAUCAUUGUUUUCAAAUAUGAUGUGUUCUUCAUGGAUUAUCACUUUAUAUUGCCCCUUAAGUAUGCUAAAUAUUGAUAUACUGAUAACAGGACAGGAAACAGACUAAUUACAGUGACCUAUCAGCUGAACUACAGUUACCUCUAAGUCAGAAAAUGCUCUGUAUAGCCAAUAAUGUUCUGCAUUAUCUAUAUUGUGUGUCCCUUACAUAAAAUGAGGGCAUGUGAAUCAAAUGAGGGCAUGUGAAUCAGUUAAUUAAAAUAAGAAGUUCAAUCAUAGAUGUUAUCAAAACAAACUGAACUACAUAAUAUUGCAUUUCCAUAUAAUUUGUAAUAGGACUUUUUUAAUUUGUAAAAAAAUAAUAAAAAUAUUAUUUAAUUGCAUGUAGUGAACUGAUUUGUUCAGACUUUUCGGUUAUAAUGACAUUGUCCCCUUAAAAAUGUAGUUUUUGCCUAACUAAACAAAACAAUUAGUUUGACUGAAGAUUAACCCUUUAACUGUACCCCCCCCCCCCCCCCCAUUUUUUAAAAUAGGCUUUAAAGUGCACUAUCCAAACUUAAAUUGUUGUAUUUUAUGAACACUUUGGAAUAUAGACCUAAGGUUGGUCUCUUUUUAAAGAAGAAAAAUUAACAGAUUGUGGCAAAAGUCAAAAAAUUAAAGUAUCAAAAAGUUAUAGAAGUUUAAAUGUACUGUAAAUAAAAUGCGCUGUAUUAAUUUUAUUUUAUUUUAUUUAUUAUAAAUAUUUUACAUAACAGGUUUUACUCUAAAUUUGGUAUAAAAUUAAAGCCUUGUUUGUUGUAUUUUAUGAACACUUUGGAAUAUAGACCUAAGGUUGGUCUCUUUUUAAAGAAGAAAAUUAACAGAUUGUGGCAAAAGUCAAAAAAUUAAAGUAUCAAAAAGUUAUAGAAGUUUAAAUGUACUGUAAAUAAAAUGCGCUGUAUUAAUUUUAUUUUAUUUUAUUUAUUAUAAAUAUUUUACAUAACAGGUUUUACUCUAAAUUUGGUAUAAAAUUAAAGCCUUGUGUCUAAUUAAGUUAUGUUCCAAAUUUGAAGUUGAUAUGAAAAAAAUUUAGGUUCCUGUGAGAUUGUAUUUAGGGCGUCAUACCACAAACAGCCACUGGGUGCCAUCAAAACUCCUCUGAAUUUUGUUGAAUUUUUCUCUAGAUUUCUCUGUCAAUUUUACUUCUAUCUCAAAAUACCACCAAAUAUGAAAUCCUGAGACUCAGAGCUUUCCAAUGAUAUGUUUGUUGCCAAGAUUAUAAAAAGUUUUGAUUCUAAAAGACCGUAAUGCAUUUUGUAAUAUGACACUUGACUCCGCCCACUAAGAGGGAGGAGACUGCCAAAAUAUUUUAAAGUACCAUUUCCAUGGUAUCGCAUUAUCCAAUUUCAAAAUAGUUUUCACAGGAUGAAUCUUGGGCUUCUAAGCUUUCAAAUGAUAUAUAAUUUAUGAUGAUUACUAAAAGAUUUUAUAGAGAAAAAAGGACAAAAAAAAGCGUGCCACAGGUGGGAAGGUGACAGCUAAGGGGUUAAAUGCUUUAAAUUAUGUAAAUCUUCUCAAAGAGUGCACUCUUAAAAAUAAAGGUGCUUGACAGUGAUGCCACAGAAGAACCCUUUGGUCUAAAUGAUUCAGUAAAGAACCUCUAACAUCUGUUUCACAAACGCUUCUUUGGUAAGAAAGAGAUGCUUCUUUGACUGAAUGCUUCUUUGUGGAGCCAAAAAUGGUUCUUCUGUGGCAUCGCUGUUCUCUUUUUGAAAUCAUCAGCCAUGUUUGAUCAACAUCUCUGAACGUGUGUGGGAGUUAAAAGUUACUGUCAAAACUUUAGUUAACUUUCCACACACGUGUCAGACUUGUGAUAAACUGAUAUGAAGGAGAUAGUGGUGACUGCACAAGAUCUGAUCCAGAUACUGACACUGACCCGGC
rnacentral:lncRNA from 1 species